UACGAAGGGUGCUAGCGUUGUUCGGAAUUACUGGGCGUAAAGCGCGCGUAGGCGGCGAUGCAAGUCAGGGGUGAAAUCCCGAGGCUCAACCUCGGAACUGCAUUCGAAACUGCUCGGCUAGAGUCCCGGAGAGGAUGGCAGAAUUCCCGGUGUAGGGGUGAAAUCCGUAGAUAUCGGGAGGAAUACCAGUGGCGAAGGCGGCCAUCUGGACGGUGACUGACGCUGAGACGCGAAAGCGUGGGGAGCAAACAGG
rnacentral:rRNA from 1 species